UACGUAGGGUGCAAGCGUUGUCCGGAAUUAUUGGGCGUAAAGAGCUCGUAGGCGGUCAGUCGCGUCUGCUGUGAAAACUCGGGGCUUAACUCCGGGCCUGCAGUGGGUACGGGCAGACUAGAGUGUGGUAGGGGAGACUGGAAUUCCUGGUGUAGCGGUGAAAUGCGCAGAUAUCAGGAGGAACACCGAUGGCGAAGGCAGGUCUCUGGGCCACUACUGACGCUGAGAAGCGAAAGCAUGGGGAGCGAACAGG
rnacentral:rRNA from 1 species